rnacentral:misc_RNA from 2 species
CAAGAGCGAGGGCCCUCGUGGCCCGAACCUCCAACCCCAUGUUGUCCGACUCUGUUGCCUCGGGGGCGACCCGGCCCUCCUGGGCGUCGGGGCCCCCGGUGGUCCAUCUCAACCCUGCAUCUGUGCGUCUGAGUAAAUAUUUGAAUCAAUCA